UGACACUUCUCUCAACUCAACUCACAUAAGAACCGUGUGUGAGUGGUUGACAGUUGACACUGACCUUCUUUCUCUCUUACGCUCCGUCUAACCAAAGCAACCCGCGAAACUUUAUCUCCUCUGUCCCCUUCAUUGCCCGACCCGACCCGUAUAACAUUCACAGCUCACUUUCUUCAGAUCCAGAUACCGACACCACUUCCGCUUCCUAUUCUCUUCUUCCUUUUUAACUCUGUUUUUAGUGCUUUGUCGUUUAUUGGCAUUUCGCUUUUUCAUAUACUCAAUGCUAUGCAAAUGGUGGUAGGUAGGACCGACAAUAUUCACGAGCUGGUCGGAGUUAGUGUUCUGCUAUCUGAUGUCAGAAGAUGUUUUAUUGUAUCGAUGUAGUUAAGACGAACUGAAUAACUGCAACAUUUUGGAUAAAUAAGACUGCACCUGAAGAUAUUCUGAAAGACAAUGGAUCACAAAUCGUGGCCCUGGAAGAAAAAAUCCUUAGAUAAAAACACGGUUGCUGAAGACAAAGCAAAUAUUUCUUCAAGAAGACAUGACGAAGAGGUAACUAAAUACAUAGUCUUU